AUUGAACGCUGGCGGCAGGCCUAACACAUGCAAGUCGAACGAGUGGCGGACGGGUGAGUAAUGUCUGGGAAACUGCCCGAUGGAGGGGGAUAACUACUGGCAACGGUAGCUAAUACCGCAUACCAUCGGAUGUGCCCAGAUGGGCUUAGCUAGUGGGUGGGGUAAUGGCUCACCUAGGCGACGAUCCCUAGCUGGUCUGAGAGGCGGACCAGCCAAACUGGAACUGAGCCAGGGUCCAAACUCCUACGGGGGGCAGCAGGGGGGAAUAUUGCACAAGGGGCGAAAGCCUGAUGCAGCCAUGCGGCGUGGAUGAAGAAGGCCUUCGGGUUGGAAAGUACUUUCAGCGAGGAGGCGUUACUCGCAGAAGAAGCACCGGCUAACUCCGUGCCAGCAGCCGCGGUAAUUC
rnacentral:rRNA from 1 species